GAUUUCAACUGAAAAAGUCAUCAACAACAAAGUUGUAUAACUCAUCAAUAUCUGUAACUUUUAUUUUGGUCAUUUCUUCAUCCAGCAAAGUUUAUAAAACCAUAUCUCUUAUAGUUUAUAAAACCAUAUAAGAGAUAUAUAAAAUUUGUGAACAAUGUCACUAUCACUUCGCCGGAUGAAGAAAUUACCAAAGUAAAAGUUAUAGAUAUUGAUGAGUUAUACAAAUUUGUUGUCGAUGACUUUUUCAGUUGAAAUC
rnacentral:pre_miRNA from 1 species